rnacentral:rRNA from 1 species
GUAGGGAAUAUUGGGCAAUGGAUGCAAGUCUGACCCAGCCAUGCCGCGUGGAGGAAGAAGGUCCUCUGGAUUGUAAACUCCUUUUUUGGGGGAAGAAUAGUUCUCUUGCGAGGGAAUGUGACGGUACCCUAAGAAUAAGCCACGGCUAACUACGUGCCAGCAGCCGCGGUAAUACGUAGGUGGCAAGCGUUGUCCGGAUUUAUUGGGUUUAAAGGGUGCGUAGGUGGUUUGAUAAGUCAGUGGUGAAAGCUGGUUGCUCAACAAUCAAGUUGCCAUUGAUACUGUCGGACUUGAGAGAAGUGGAGGUUCAUGGAAUGGAUGGUGUAGCGGUGAAAUGCAUAGAUAUCAUCCAGAACGCCAAUUGCGAAGGCAGGUAACUGUACCUAUAUCGACGCUGAUGCACGAAAGCAUGGGUAGCGAACAGGAUUAGAAACCCCGGUAGUCC